UACGUAGGCAGCAAGCGUUGUUCGGAGUUACUGGGCGUAAAGGGUGUGUAGGCGGUUGCUUAAGUUUGGUGUGAAAUCUCCCGGCUCAACUGGGAGGGUGCGCCGAAGUACUGAGUGACUCGAGUGCGGGAGAGGAAAGUGGAAUUCCUGGUGUAGCGGUGAAAUGCGUAGAUAUCAGGAGGAACACCGGUGGUGUAGACGGCUUUCUGGACCGUAACUGACGCUGAAACACGAAAGCGUGGGUAGCAAACAGG
rnacentral:rRNA from 1 species